rnacentral:tRNA from 1 species
AUUUAGAUGGCUGAUAAUAGGUGUUAAAUUGUAAAUUUAAUUAAGGUAAGACCUCUAAGCA